rnacentral:rRNA from 1 species
UACGAAGGGGGCUAGCGUUGCUCGGAAUCACUGGGCGUAAAGGGUGCGUAGGCGGGUCUUUAAGUCAGAGGUGAAAUCCUGGAGCUCAACUCCAGAACUGCCUUUGAUACUGAGGAUCUUGAGUACGGGAGAGGUGAGUGGAACUGCGAGUGUAGAGGUGAAAUUCGUAGAUAUUCGCAAGAACACCAGUGGCGAAGGCGGCUCACUGGCCCGUAACUGACGCUGAGGUGCGAAAGCGUGGGGAGCAAACAGG